GCUUGGCCCUAAACCUCAGUAGUUAGAUAACAAAACUACUCGCCAGAAUACUACAAGCAACAGCUUAAAACUCAAAGGACUUGACGGUGCUUUACAUCCCCCUAGAGGAGCCUGUUCCAUAAUCGAUAAACCCCGAUCCACCCCACCCUCUCUUGCUCAGCCUAUAUACCGCCAUCUUCAGCAAACCCUAAUGAAGGCUACAAAGUGAGCGCAAACGCCACUGCCGCGAAUACGUUAGGUCAAGGUGUAGCCCAUGAGACGGUAAAAAAUGGGCUACAUUUUCUAUUUCAGAAAACCCCCACGAAAACCCUUAUGAAACUUAAGGGUCCAAGGAGGAUUUAGCAGUAAAUUAAGAAUAGAGUGCUUAAUUGAACCAGGCCAUAAAGCGCG
rnacentral:rRNA from 1 species